UUCCUCCUCCACCACCAACCGCCAUUUGAUGGUUAUUAAUCCAACAAAGAGAAUAAGCUGGAAAAGAAAGGUGGAGUUCAGCCAUUUUGAUCUAAUAAUUAGAAAACACUUUAAGCUGGAUACGAGGAAUAGGAAUGUAUUGAAAAAAUAAAUCGAUAUCGGCGACGAAUCAAAAAAAAAUUCUACUUAUUAGUGAGCAAAUCAAUAAAGUACACUUACAAGAAUUCCACUAAAAAAAAACAAUGUCUAUUUGAAUACGGUGGUGUGGGUAUGUUUCGAAAUCGCUGUGAACCUACUUCGAGACUUAAGCAAAUACUGUAAGAAUAUUAGAUCCCCGUAUCAGAAUCUAUCGAAUAAUAUCGACAUCACUAUCCUCUUUUACGUAUUUAGGCGAUGUUUAAUAUAUACAUAAGUUUUUAUCCAUUUUUUUAUGACAGUAGAGAAAAGAUUUAAUUAGAGAUAACCUAAAUCCUUAUUGACUUAAAAAAGGAUGAUACUUACUUGUGGAUAUUUAUUUGCGAAGAAUCUUUGAACAAACAGAAACUUAUAAUAGAUUCUUUCUAAAUCUCGGAGCAUAUUCUGGCUCAUUUUAUAUUUAUAUUUUCCUUUUCAGCUUUUUAGAACUCAAUUCCGACCUCAGUUUGGUUGCAACUUUGCUACAGACACUAUUUAAUAUCUCGGUCUCCUGUACAUUUUACCAGGUUUACGUUGUAUUGUUUAUAUAGUUUAUAUAGCAAUAUUUACUACAUGUUCAUCAUAUUACGAAAAUAGAUUAAGAGAACUGGGGAAAGAGUGAGGAGAUGAGAAAUUUUCGGAUUUAUUUAUAAUUUCCAAUUAUUAUUUUUAAGACGAAAUUGCCGCGAGACUACAUUGUCCAUGAAAUUAAUGUUUGUGUUUAUUCUACUAAAGGGUAUGAAUGCUCGAUCUCGUGCCAAGGUGCCUACAAUCUUAAUACGCCGCUGCCUGUGUAUGAUUAUAAUAUUACUUCUGUUUUUUGCACAGAAAGCGUGUUUCAUUUCAAAGAUUGACUUCCAAUUAAAUUUAAUUAAUAAUAUGUUGUUUCAUUUCCUUAUUUAA